rnacentral:rRNA from 1 species
GAUGAACGCUGGCGGCGUGCCUAAUACAUGCAAGUCGAGCGAACAGACGAGGAGCUUGCUCCUCUGACGUUAGCGGCGGACGGGUGAGUAACACGUGGAUAACCUACCUAUAAGACUGGGAUAACUUCCGGAAACCGGAGCUAAUACCGGAUAAUAUAUUGAACCGCAUGGUUCAAUAGUGAAAGACGGUUUUGCUGUCACUUAUAGAUGGAUCCGCGCCGCAUUAGCUAGUUGGUAAGGUAACGGCUUACCAAGGCAACGAUGCGUAGCCGACCUGAGAGGGUGAUCGGCCACACUGGAACUGAGACACGGUCCAGACUCCUACGGGAGGCAGCAGUAGGGAAUCUUCCGCAAUGGGCGAAAGCUUGACGGAGCAACGCCGCGUGAGUGAUGAAGGUCUUCGGAUCGUAAAACUCUGUUAUUAGGGAAGAACAAAUGUGUAAGUAACUAUGCACGUCUUGACGGUACCUAAUCAGAAAGCCACGGCUAACUACGU